GUAGGUGAACCUGCGGAAGGAUCAUUACCGAGUUAGGGUCCUCUGGGCUCGACCUCCUACCCUUUGUCUACCUUACCUUUUGUUGCUUCGGCGGAUCCGUCCCUUUGGGGACCGCCGGAGGGUUUACCCCCUCUGGCCCGCGUCCGCCGGUGGCCCACAACCAAAACUCUUGUUUAAACGUGUCGUCUAAGUACAAAAACAAAUAAGUAAAAACUUUCAACAACGGAUCUCUUGGUUCUG
rnacentral:misc_RNA from 1 species